rnacentral:lncRNA from 1 species
AUAACCAAGGAGUGUGGAGACACUGGUAUGGCAUACAGGUGAGAUGUAAUGGUACAUCUACACUGAACGUGACCGACUCCGGAGCUAUUUCUGCUAUCAAGAUUUGCUCCGAUGGGAUAUGGGUAUAAAUGUCCCUCCGACCUGAGACCGCCACGGUGACUUGCAAGCAACUCACUGCACUUAGGCACUGGACUAUCUGAAUUUCUAAUUCAGUGACGGAAGGCUGCUGGGUGUAGUCAAGUACUUGACUUGUCGGUGCGUGUAUCAAGAUGGGAUUGACCACUCCAGUUUAGGAGCUGUGUACAGUCAUGUUUCAAUUUAGCAA